AAAGUGGUGACCCUCGCCCCAUCCUUAUUCGUCAAUUACUCAGCAUUUCAUGAAAGCUGCUUUUAUACCCAGAGGUGGGUAGUAACGCGCUACAUUUACUCCGUUACAUUUACUUGAGUAACUUUUGGGAUAAAUUGUACUUCUACGAGUAGUUUUUAUGCAACAUACUUUUACUUUUACUUGAGUAUAUUUAUAGAGAAGAAACGCUACUUUUACUCCGUUCCAUUUAUCUACAUUCAGCUCGCUACUCGCUACUUUUUUUUUAAUCGAUCUAUUAAUGUUUGUUUUGGUUAAUGACAGAGCUUCAAAGUAGAAUCUACGCAUGCCUGCGUUUCACCAAUCACAUGCAGUCACUGGUGACGUUGGACCAAUCAAACAGAGCCAGGCGGUCACAUGACCCGACUUAAACAAGUUAAAAAACUAUUUAGUGGUCAAUUGUACGGAUUAUGUACUGUACUGUGCAAUCUAAUAAUAAAAGUUUCAAUCAAUCAAAAGUGUAAAGGAAAAAAGACACUUUUUAUUUCAACCGUACUUCCCGUCAAAAGCCUAAAGACUGAUCGCACAGUUCCUGUCUUCACAAUAACAGUGCCGCUCCAUCGCGCCUGCGCUAACAAAAUAAGAGUCUCCGAAAGCCAGCGCAAACAAGCUAGCAAGACACGGAGUUUGCCGCCAAUGUAUUUCUUGUAAAGUGUAUAAAAACGAAUAUGGAAGCUGGACAAAUAAGAUGCCAAAAACCAACGACUUUCAUGUGGUGUUAGACAGAAAAGAGGAACUUUUUUUCUCCUCCAUUUGAAAACGUGAACGUCUGAUUCCAAUCAUUGCAAGUCAUCAGAAUCAGGAUCCAACCAGUUCUGCAAGACACACAAAGGUUAAAGGUCGUAGAUCUGACACGGAUAUAGAAGUGAUAGAAGCGACCUUGUUGUUGUCGGCGUCUCUGAAGGACAGGGCGAAGUAGUCCCUCUCCAGCAGGUUGACGUGCUCGCAGACCUUCUCGAACAGCUGAAGACCGCGAGCUCGUUUCUGCAACAAUGACAAUGAAGUCUUUGACUUGUUAAGAGGCUCAUUGUACAUGCGCUCAUUGUGCACGUAAACAGAGAGCCGUCCAGCAGGGUGACUUUGGCCUGCAUAGUUCUGAAGUUCAGAGGGUUCCUGACUGGGGAUGGAGCGACUCGACUGCCCGGGGACAGGUGACCAAUUGACUUGUCGGCCAAUAAGCUGCCUUUGUACUGGGAUGCCCCGCCCUCCCCUACCUAAGCAGGAAAUUAAGUCAUGCUUCUGCUGCGCUGAUGAUGUUUAAAAGUUCCCUUGUUACCUGAAUGGGUGUGGAAUGGGCGGCGGCUUCAGGGAGGGAUUCCGCCUCCUGCGGCUCGCUCUGCUCUGUCGUCAUGGCGAUAAGUUGACCUUAAAGUACAAUUUGGACUGAACUGGUGCGGCGGUUCAGAAUCAUUCCAACUGUUGAAUAUAUUUUUUUUAAAAUUAUAAAUAAAGGGUAUUUUGUUUGACAGGCUGUCGAUCCUUUGACCCGGCCAGCUGUCAUGUGAGGGUUGCCGUGGUAACAGUAGAGCCAGAGAGAGAGAGAUUAUGGGUAAGAGAAUGUGAUCUGGUUUUGAGUGUGAUGAUGUGGGUCAGUGUGUGUGUGUGUGUGUGUGUGUGUGUAGUGAGGGGGUUACAACUGGGUAAAUAUUGAUGAUAUUCACAAUAUUGAAAAAACAUGUGUAAUAUCGGGAACGCCAGUAUAAUCACUCACAAUAUAUUGUGUAUUAUAUGAAUAACAUAAAUAAAGUAUAAUAUAGUGCAGUGAGCUGGAAUACAUUAAUAAUUCACUUUAUGUUCAGAUGAAAGUGAUCAAUCAAUGUCAGAAAAAAUAUCAUAAUGGGCACAGACUUAAUUAAAGAAGCUGAACCAAAAUAACAAGUUAGUGAUUCCAUAUAAUUUGAAAAAUUCAUGCAAAUUGUAUUUUGAAUGCUGAGCUUAGAAAAAGUGUUAAUGUUUUUGGAACAAUUCCCAUUGAUUUGGUUGAUGAUUCCAUGCAUGAGUUCCAAUGUGCUAAAACACUGCUAGUGCUCCCAUCCUGCAGCAGGAAACACCCCACCGCAGCAACGCACGCACACACGCACAUCCCAGCUGCAGCAUGAUCAUGCAAAACUGUCCUCUCGCCAAGUAUUACGAUCAUCAUCAAUAAUCCUCAUUAUGACUUCAUGCAUUUGCCAUUCAUCAGUAAUGUCUUCCAAUAAAUCAUGGGUCUUUUCUUUACCUGUCCUGUUGCGGGACGCUCGCGCUCUUCCUCGCUGUUACGGCCAAGGUUUUUUUUUGUUUUUUUUACGACGUCAUUUCACUGACGCAAUGACGUCAUGACGCAUGGGACGGCAGGGGGCGUUAAAUCCUAAAUGAAAAAUGAAUCCAGCGGCUUUUUAAACAAAACAUUUAGGGGUGGAAAAG